rnacentral:rRNA from 1 species
CGUAAUUUAGGCAUAUUACUAAGCGGAGGAAAAGAAACUAACAAGGAUUCCCCCAGUAGCGGCGAGCGAACAGGGAAGAGUCCAGCACCGAACCCCGCAGGCUGCCGCCUGUCGUGGCAUGUGGUGUUUGGGAGGGUCCACUACCCCGACGCCUCGCGCCGAGUCCAAGUCCAACUUGAAUGAGGCCACGGCCCGUAGAGGGUGCCAGGCCCGUAGCGGCCGGUGCGAGCGUCGGCGGGACCUCUCCUUCGAGUCGGGUUGCUUGAGAGUGCAGCUCCAAGUGGGUGGUAAACUCCAUCUGAGACUAAAUAUGACCACGAGACCGAUAGCGAACAAGUACCGUGAGGGAAAGUUGAAAAGAACUUUGAAGAGAGAGUUCAAAAGUACGUGAAACCGUUCUGGGGUAAACGUGAGAAGUCCGAAAGGUCGAACGGGCGAGAUUCACGCCCAUCCGGCCACUGGCCCCCGCCCUCGGCAGAUGGGGCCGGCCGCCCGCGCGGAGCAAUCCGCGGCGGGGUCGUGUCCGGUUGCCUUUCCACUCGCCGCGGGGUGGGGCCGUUCCAGUGUGCGGUGGGCCGCACUUCUCCCCUAGUAGGACGUCGCGACCCGCUGGGUGCCGGCCUACGGCCCGGGUGCGCAGCCUGUCCUUCCGCGGGCCUCGGUUCGCGUCUGUUGGGCAGAGCCCCGGUGUCCCGGCUGGCUGCUCGGCGGUAUAUCUCGAGGAGUCGAUUCGCCCCCCUGUGGGCGCCCGGGCUCCCGGCAAGCGCGCGCGGUUCUUCCCGGAUGACGGACCUACCUGGCCCGGCCCCGGACCCGCGCCGCUGUUGGCUCGGGAAGCUCUCGGGCGGAAUAAUCGCUCCCGUCAGCGGCGCUUCAGCUUUGGACAAUUUCACGACCCGUCUUGAAACACGGACCAAGGAGUCUAACAUGUGCGCGAGUCAUUGGGCUGUACGAAACCUAAAGGCGUAAUGAAAGUGAAGGUCUCGCCUUGCGCGGGCCGAGGGAGGAUGGGGUUUUCCUCGCCUAGCGAGUGUGCCUCCGCACUCCCGGGGCGUCUCGUCCUCAUUGCGAGGUGAGGCGCACCUAGAGCGUACACGUUGGGACCCGAAAGAUGGUGAACUAUGCCUGGCCAGGACGAAGUCAGGGGAAACCCUGAUGGAGGUCCGUAGCGAUUCUGACGUGCAAAUCGAUCGUCGGAGCUGGGUAUAGGGGCGAAAGACUAAUCGAACCAUCUAGUAGCUGGUUCCCUCCGAAGUUUCCCUCAGGAUAGCUGGUGCUCGAACGAGUCUCAUCCGGUAAAGCGAAUGAUUAGAGGCCUUGGGGCCGAAACGACCUCAACCUAUUCUCAAACUUUAAAUGGGUGAGAUCUCCGGCUUGCUUGAUAUGCUGAAGCCGUGAGCCAUCAACUCGGAUCGGAGUGCCAAGUGGGCCACUUUUGGUAAGCAGAACUGGCGCUGUGGGAUGAACCAAACGCCGAGUUAAGGCGCCCGAAUCGACGCUCAUGGGAAACCAUGAAAGGCGUUGGUUGCUUAAGACAGCAGGACGGUGGCCAUGGAAGUCGGAAUCCGCUAAGGAGUGUGUAACAACUCACCUGCCGAAGCAACUAGCCCUGAAAAUGGAUGGCGCUGAAGCGUCGUGCCUAUACUCGGCCGUCAGUCUGGCAGUCAUGGCCGGUCUUUUGGCCGGCCGCGAAGCCCUGACGAGUAGGAGGGUCGCGGCGGUGAGCGCAGAAGGGUCUGGGCGUGAGCCUGCCUGGAGCCGCCGUCGGUGCAGAUCUUGGUGGUAGUAGCAAAUACUCCAGCGAGGCCCUGGAGGGCUGACGCGGAGAAGGGUUUCGUGUGAACAGCCGUUGCACACGAGUCAGUCGAUCCUAAGCCCUAGGAGAAAUCCGAUGUCGAUGGGGGCCGUCAUAGCAAGCACUGUUGUCUGCUGGCCCCCGUUGGGCGAAAGGGAAUCCGGUUCCUAUUCCGGAACCCGGCAGCGGAACCGAUACAAGUCGGGCCCCUCUUUUAGAGAUGCUCGUCGGGGUAACCCAAAAGGACCCGGAGACGCCGUCGGGAGAUCGGGGAAGAGUUUUCUUUUCUGCAUGAGCGUUCGAGUUCCCUGGAAUCCUCUAGCAGGGAGAUAGGGUUUGGAACGCGAAGAGCACCGCAGUUGCGGCGGUGUCCCGAUCUUCCCCUCGGACCUUGAAAAUCCGGGAGAGGGCCACGUGGAGGUGUCGCGCCGGUUCGUACCCAUAUCCGCAGCAG